rnacentral:rRNA from 1 species
GGACUACACGGGUAUCUAAUCCUGUUUGCUCCCCACGCUUUCGCGUCUCAGCGUCAGUCACCGUCCAGAGGGCCGCCUUCGCCACCGGUGUUCCUCCUGAUAUCUACGCAUUUCACCGCUACACCAGGAAUUCCACCCUCCUCUCCGGGACUCCAGCUCGCCAGUUUCCAAUGCACUUCCGGGGGUGAGCCCCGGGCUUUCACAUCAGACCUAACGAGCCGCCUACACGCGCUUUACGCCCAGUGAUUCCGAACAACGCUCGCACCCUCCGUAUUACCGCGGCUGCUGGCAC